UACCUUCCACUCUCCUUUCCCCUUUUUCAUUGCUUUUGGAAAGUCUCAUUUACUAGCUAGAUCAUAACCCUCGGGGUUCUACUGACUCAGAAUCAUCAAAGUCCAAUGGCAAGACAAAAAUCAGUUGUUUGGGAUGUGGCCUCUGAACAUGUGACAGUUUCUGGGAGCCAUAGCCUGCAAUUUGUACAGACUUGGUGAACUAAAACUGCUUUGAGGAAGACAAGAUUCUACCCAAGACUCCAAGUGCCAAUGAUUUCCCAGCUGCUGGAUCUGGAGCCCUUCUGCAAUUUACAGACGCCCUCUGGACUGCCAAAAUCAAUUCAUAAGGAUUUUCCCAGGAGUCUGUAGAUCCCAAGAUUAACAAAAGCAAAGAUUAAGUGGCUUGCCCAGAAUAACUCAACUAAAAUCUGAAGUAUGUGCUUUACCAAGGGACUUCUGCUAUUGGCACAGCUGCCUAACAGGACUUCUGCUGGCUGAGAAGAGACUUUCUUCUCAGGGAUAACCUUGUUAUUUCUCUGCCAGGACCUCUUGCAACUGAGAACUCAGUCUUCCU